UACGGGGGGAGCAAGCGUUGUUCGGAUUUACUGGGCGUAAAGGGCGCGUAGGCGGCCACCGCAAGUCAGUUGUGAAAGCUCUGGGCUUAACCCAGAAAGGUCAACUGAUACUGCGGGGCUAGAGUGCAGAAGGGGCAACUGGAAUUCUCGGUGUAGCGGUGAAAUGCGUAGAUAUCGAGAGGAACACCUGCGGCGAAGGCGGGUUGCUGGGCGUGACAC
rnacentral:rRNA from 1 species